AAUCGCCGAUUUAUAAUAACAUAAACGAACCGUAGCCGGUUCGUCGCGCUGCGCAUUUUUUCCGGGAGUGUCGUUUAGUUAUCGGACUAAUAGACUUUUCAUAAUUUUUAUUUGAUAGAAUCCUAAUUCGAGAGCCAGGAAUCGCACCCCCUCUGCUUGUCUGGAGGUUUGUGAGGUUUACACGCUCUGUCUUUGGCGAUCGAUUCGGUCCUAAGCGGAAAGAAUUUGGACAUUGAUUUCGUUUUCUCCCGCGUGGGACUUAACUCUUGUUCAGUGGACGGGUACGCGUGAGUUCCACAUAUACUUGUCGACUCGAGGUCUUACUGAAUCCACGGGACUCCCUCUGAAUUGGAAGUCUUAUCAUGGGACUUGUAAACCCGAAGUGCCGAAGUGUAAUUGCGCGAAAGACUUAUAAAUAAUUAGUUCGCGCGCGACUUUAGUAUAUUAUUCGCGAGUGUCUUAGUGAGUGCAAUAGGAGGAGGAGGAGAAAGAAGAGGUGAAGGCCUGACAACCUAGAUAUCUUGAGAGGAGGAGGAAGAGAAGAGAGAGGUCUAGAAGAGACAUGGAAUCCCGACGGAGCAAUCUUGAGAUCAGAUGCCAUGGCGGAGGACAGGAUCGACCCGGAAUACGCCACUUGCAAGUCAGUAGUAUAAAUGAUCGCAUGCGCCAGUUGUGAACAAUGCAAUGUCCAAG
rnacentral:lncRNA from 13 species